AUUACAUGUCUGGGUACUGCAACUCAGAGGCUCAGACAGGAAAGCCUGAAUCUACCCUUACAUGGCUGACCCGACUCUCUGUAACUGGCCCUUACGCAGAAGGCCAUGCAGCUGUUAAGCAAUAAACGCUUGUUGGAGAGCUAACUUUCAGUUGAUGAGUAUUUACUGAACGCCUACUCUGUCCCAGGUGCUAUGCUAAGAUGACAGAGACCUGAGGAAAUUGCCUUUGGCAGCCCCAGACCCACAUAAAGCCAGGGUGCUAUGAUAGCACCCCCUCUCAGGAGGCCCAGAAAGAUGACUGAGACUAGGGUUAAAGAAAUAAGAGACUUGCAUAAUCACAUAUUUAGCAAACCUAUUGGAUGGCUGACACUAGCAACUGCAGAAUGUAUGGUGGAUGAUAUUGCAAAUUGUGAUAAAUUAUAUGGUAAUAUAUAAUGAGGGACCGGGCCAAGCCUGGAGUAUUAAUGCAUUAGCUUGAGUCAGAUCAGCCAUCAUUUUUGCAGGUCAAAUACAUUUGAAUAUCAACAAUGUUGUGAGAUUCAAGUUAAUAGACAUCUGUUGGUUUUGCUGUCCAGUCUUCAUUCCCCCUUCUUCUGGCAUAAGAACCUCCUUUCCCGGAUUCUUAGACCAUGUAACUUGGGUGGGGCUUUCUCCAUGAGCAACUGCAGGAGUGAGCACAUGACCCAGGCCUGGAUAAAGAGCUUCACCCCAUCCUCCAACCAACUAACCACAGUGAUUUCUUCAGGGAUGGGCACAGGACUCAACCUGGACCAAUAGGGGUGGCACCAGCAAAACCUAUGUGUUGGCAUUAUGAUCAAGCUAAAAGGAAGAUGGUAGCCUUUUCUACAGCAUGAGGAGAUCCUGGCUGAGAAUGAAGCCAACUUGGCCGGGGAGAACCAAGAGAUAGAGUGGACAAAAUCCUGAUAUCAUCAUGUAGCACCUAGAUACAGCUGUGACUGACGCCUCUCUCUCUCUCUUCUCCUGCCCCGCACCCUCACCCCCUUCCCAUAUAUUUCAACUGUUUAAAUCAAUUUCCAUAACUUGUAACUGAAAGAGCCCUGACUUAUACUUAGGGAAGUCUCUCUGGUGAAGUGAUCUUUGAGCUGAAGGGGCUGAUUUGGGGCCAGGAGUGAGGGUAGGGGAU
rnacentral:lncRNA from 10 species